CGGGCACUGCACGACACGAGCUUUAGCGAACAUCCCUGAGGCGAUAAUCAAAAUCCAAGGGGGCUGUCCCUGGGCGGGUUCAGGCCCGUUCUACAUGGUCCCCACCUGACGUUGAGGCGUCAGAGGAUAUUCCAGCAAACGACCGAGGCGGUCCCGUC
rnacentral:misc_RNA from 1 species